rnacentral:rRNA from 1 species
CCAGCCAGUAGCGUGCAGGAUGACGGCCCUCUGGNGUUGUAAACUGCUUUUAGUUGGGAAUAAAAAAGAGGACGUGUCCUCUAUUGUAUGUACCUUCAGAAAAAGGACCGGCUAAUUCCGUGCCAGCAGCCGCGGUAAUACGGAAGGUCCAGGCGUUAUCCGGAUUUAUUGGGUUUAAAGGGAGCGUAGGCGGAUUAUUAAGUCAGUGGUGAAAGACGGUGGCUCAACCAUCGUUAGCCAUUGAAACUGGUAGUCUUGAGUGCAGACAGGGAUGCUGGAACUCGUGGUGUAGCGGUGAAAUGCUUAGAUAUCACGAUGAACUCCAAUCGCGAAGGCAGGUGUCCGGGCUGCAACUGACGCUGAGGCUCGAAAGUGUGGGUAUCAAACAGGAUUAGAUACCCUGGUAGUCCACACAGUAAACGAUGUAUACUCGCGGUUUGCGAUAUAGUGUAAGCCGCCAAGCGAAAGCAUUAAGUAUACCACCUGGGGAGUACGCCGGCAACGGUGAAACUCAAAGGAAUGGACGGA